UUUUCCUACGGGAGGCAGCAGUGGGGAAUAUUGGGCAAUGGGCGCAAGCCUGACCCAGCAGCGCCGCGUGAAGGAAGAAGGCUUUCGGGUUGUAAACUUCUUUUUUUGGGGACGAAGAAAGUGACGGUACCCAAGGAAUAAGCCACGGCUAACUACGUGCCAGCAGCCGCGGUAAUACGUAGGUGGCAAGCGUUAUCCGGAUUUAUUGGGUGUAAAGGGCGUGUAGGCGGGAAUGCAAGUCAGAUGUGAAAACUACGGGCUCAACCCAUAGCCUGCAUUUGAAACUGGAUUUCUUGAGUGCUGGG
rnacentral:rRNA from 1 species